rnacentral:lncRNA from 1 species
CAUGGAUUAAGAAUCUGGCCAGUGAAAAGAGACAGACUACAGCUGGGUAAUAAAACUACACAUGCCAAAAAAACCCUCAACAACCAAAUGAGCUUCCUGAUAGUAAUGGAGUUCCAGUAAUUCCAGCAAAAAAACAAAAAACCUCCCAGAAACAGAAAACCUGUUGACCCUCUUCACCAAGGCCCUUAAUCUUCUGCAUAAAGGUGGAACUCUUCCAAUUCCUGCUAUUAACAGCUGUUUCCAUUUCAACAACAGUGAUGUUUUACCCUGGAAAACUAUUAAACUGUUUCACCCAGUCUGCUAG